CUUUUGGGAUAUGUAGGGAUGAACAGCUCCUUAAGCUGCCUGCUUACCACAGGUUUAUUCUAGGUACUUGCUGGAAAGGCUCCACAAAUAGCAGUGACUGUGUGUGCCAGCAGGAGGAAGAAGAUGGAUGGGAGCGAACUCCUGCUCCUGGGAGAUGUUUUGCCUCUGGACGCGGAGAACAAGCUGCGAAAUGUUCCCACCAUGUGUUUGUGGAUCCGCCGCACAGGCGGACGUUGCUCAGCUCCAGCACGCUCGUGCAAAACGUGUCGGUGCAGGGAUGACUGAAGUGAGUGACUUCCCUUUCCUCUGGGAGCGCACACGAGGCCGCUGCUCUGCCAAGCACCAAAAGCUGCACCCAAGCCUCCUGCUAGCCAGUGUGAAUAAAAGCUCCAUGCAACUGCAACAGUGA
rnacentral:lncRNA from 1 species